rnacentral:rRNA from 1 species
AUUGAACGCUGGCGGCAUGCCUUACACAUGCAAGUCGAAACGGCAGCGGACCUUCGGGUGCCGGCGAGUGGCGAACGGGUGAGUAAUAUAUCGGAACGUACCUUUCAGUGGGGGAUAACGUAGCGAAAGUUACGCUAAUACCGCAUAUUCUGUGAGCAGGAAAGCAGGGGAUCGCAAGACCUUGCGCUGAUUGAGCGGCCGAUAUCAGAUUAGCUAGUUGGUGAGGUAAAGGCUCACCAAGGCGACGAUCUGUAGCGGGUCUGAGAGGAUGAUCCGCCACACUGGAACUGAGACACGGUCCAGACUCCUACGGGAGGCAGCAGUGGGGAAUUUUGGACAAUGGGCGCAAGCCUGAUCCAGCCAUGCCGCGUGAGUGAAGAAGGCCUUCGGGUUGUAAAGUCUCUUUCGGCCGGGUAAGAAGUACGC